CAAACCACCUGUCACCAGCCCCUGACACAUUCCAGGACAACAACAACAACAACAGCCAAAUCCAAAAGAAAAGAACAAAAUAAGCCAAAAUGAAGAAAAGAAAAUAGAAAACAAAGUCAGUGGAAGCAAAGGGAACAGAAGAAAAUAGAGCUUCAACCUGCCCCGAGAGAGAUUUAGCAUGGGGGUGCAAGUUUUCCCCAGUACCAAAGGGGGCAUGAGGAGGCACUUUAAUGGUCUUGAGAAGGAAGAGGCUGUGUUAGUGGAAGCAAAGAGAACAGAAGAAAAUAGAGCUUCAAUUAACCUGCUCCGAGAGAUUUAGCAUGUGGGUGCAAGUUUUCCCCGGUACCAAAGGGGCCAUAAGAAGGCACUUUAAUGGUCUUGAGAAGGAGGAGGCUGUGUUAGUGGAAGCAAAGGGAGCAGAAAAAAAUGAGCUUCAACCUGCUCCGAGAGUCCAGAGAUUUAGCAUGGGGGUGCAAGUUUUCCCCGGUACCAAAGGGGCCAUAAGAAGGCACUUUAAUGGUCUUGAGAAGGAGGAGGCUGUGUUAGUGGAAGCAAAGGGAGCAGAAAAAAAUUGAGCUUCAACCUGCCCCGAGAGUCCAGAGAUUUAGCAUGGGGGUGCAAGUUUUCCCCGGUACCAAAGGGGCCAUAAGAAGGCACUUUAAUGGUCUUGAGAAGGAGGAGGCUGUGUUAGUGGAAGCAAAGAGAACAGAAGAAAAUAGAGCUUCAACCUGCUCCGAGAGUCCAGAGAUUUAGCAUGGGAGUGUAAGUUUUCCCUGGUACCAAAGGGGGCCAUAAGAAGGCACUUUAAUGGUCUUGAGAAGGAAGAGGCUGUGUGCAGAGAGGACUCACCAACUAUGCCUUCUAUUUGCUGGAGGUAUCAGGUGAUUGCAGUUGAAAGCAAGAGAUGGCAAGUAUAAUCUCCUGCCCUACUACAGCACUUAAUAUAUUAGUUGGUAUUACAAGACACUUUCGCUUCACACAUCAACUAUUUCUAAAGGUCAAAGAGGGGGUCAGUCGGGUUCUAAUGAGUGUUUCUUCAGGUUCACAGUACAGAGGAAGGGUCAAACUAGCAACAGGGUCAUAAAACUACUCCCGGAAAUGCCUACAACUCCUACGAAAGCCUUGUCAAAUAGGUGUUUUUGGGCCGUAUUUUAAGACACCAUCGCUUCUCACAUCAACUAUUUCUAAAGGUCAAAGAGGGGAUCAAUCUGUUUUCAUGAGUGUUUUUUAAGGUUCAUGGCACAGAAGAAGGGUCAAACUACCACCAGGGUCAUAAAACUACCCCUGGAAAGGCCUACAGCUCCUACAAAAGCCAUGUCAAAUAUGUGAACUUGGGCAACGAAAUGUUUUAAAAUACGACCCUUUAAGUAAGACACAUUCCUUCAAACCUUUCUAUCUAUCUGUCUAUAUCUCUGAUGCCCCAUUCCCUCAUGAGAACUUCCCUCCAGGGGGUGGCUGCAGAAGUGUCUCCAUCUCUCCCAGUUCAGGCACUCCCUCAGCACACUCAAUCCUGCUACUUCUUACUCUCUCAUUCCAAUACUCGCUCACCCUAUUGAUCCACUUCACAGGUGGUCUUCUGACCCUUCCCUUUUUUUUAAGAGGUUUGAAAGGUUUGAUCUGUCUGUCAAACCUUUCAAACCUCUUAAAAAUUAUAGAAAACAGGAUAAAUAUCAAAACUCAUGUAGAAUUACCAACAAUAUGUGCUUUGAUAAUGGUAAUGAAUCUUAUAUCAUAAUUUUCUCACCUGUUGAUUACUUUUUUGCUUACCUUGUCCUGAAUUCCACAGCCGCCUCAUCCUCAUCAUAUUCAGCCAUUACUAGGUCACUGUAGGAAGGCCUUUCUCAACACUCUGCACCACUCUUUCUGAUUGUACUUCAUCCUGUUCUGGCAAAUCCUCUAAUUUCACAUAUCCAUCUGGUCUUUGUCUAUCCCAUCCUCUACAAUCCACUCUGUUACUUUGGUUGUCCAUCUGUUACCAGUUCUCAUUAAAAUCUUCUGUCUGUUCUCGAUGCCAUCCUGCUUGGCUCAUUCUGUCCCACGUAGUUCAUUUUUUACCCUAUUUAGAGAGUUAAUUUACAGUCCAGGUUGAUAGGUGGUCUUCAGGACAGCAUGUGGGUAGUCUUAAGCCUCUCGGCGAUGAGUGAUAAUUGUCAACUUGAGGUGGCAGGCAAGACUAGAACACGGGUCCUCCAGGAUGCCGCACCUACAAGCUGACCACCCAGCCACUGCCUCUCCAAAGGAUGCUUGUUACUUGCAGUCUUUACCCAUUCACUGCAAUUGGCACAGAUUUGGCUUUCAUUGGUAGCCUGGUAACAUAUACUCCCAGUUCUUUCUCUGCCUCUGUGGUGGAUGGUGGAGUGUUUACCAUGUUGUAUUGGUAUGCUGGAUAUUCCCUCCCAAGUAGCAUGACUUUACAUUUUUCUUCAUUGAAUUGUAGCAGCCACUUUUUGUUCCAUUCCUGUAGCUUGGUGAUGUCUUCUUGUUGGAAAUCCACAGUCAAGGGGUUAAAAUUCCCAUCAUCCCAUUCAGUUUUUAUCAUGAUGAUUAAUUACUUACUAUCACCCUCCGUCCUCAUUCAUCUCUCCUACCGUAACGCCUCCAUGAUCUAGUGGUCAGAGUGCCUGGCUACCCCUCCACAGGCCUGGGUUCGAAUCCUGGCCUGGGCAGUUGCCGUGUAGUUCACCCAGCUGUUCAUCCUCCCUUUUGGGCUGGUCGAUAAAUGGGUACCUGGGGAAACCUGGGGAAGGUAAACUGUGGCAAUCCCGGAUUUCAUAUUGGCCCAUGUCCGGGGGUAACUGGUUCUUACCACCACAGGCUCAAAGGACCAACGGGCAGGAAAUGAGCAUCGCAGCCGCAUGCAGCUGUAGCGUAUGCACCAACCUUUACCUUUACCCUCCAUCCUCAUCCAUCUCUCCUACCAUUCUCUGAGGAUGAAUAGUUUCUUUAGGGAGAAUUAUUUAAGCAAUCCCGAAAAUGUGACUUUAUUCUAACAUUCUCCUUUCAGUGUACACAUAGGAAUAGUACAUAAUGAUACAAUAAGAGUUGACAUAAACUUGAUAUUACAUACUGUAGUAUAGCACAUCAUGUCAACUCCCUAAGGCAGCAGCAAGUGACUCCCUAAUUUGGUCUGGAACACAAAAUUAAACUGCAAUGAGGUAACCCCUUGUCUAGUUUAUCUUCUGAACAACACUUAGAGAAACACUUUACCUGUUUUUAAAGUUUCAUAAAGUUUAGAUUUAUAAGGCUGAAGAAUCUUCACAGCAGUUUCUCAAAGAAAGAAAAUUCAGCAAUAUAUCAGCAAAUAAUAAUGCACAGUUAACUAUAGAAAUAAGAUUCAGAAUUUCUUUAAUUCUUCAGCAGUGCUGGAGUCUUUAGUUGAGGCUUAUAACUGGAACACCAGGCAUGAAGCUGCAUCUCAUACCCUCCCUCCAGGGGGUGCCUGAGUACCCCCCAUCCAGGGGUGCCCGAGGGGUGCUCCCUGCUGCUCCCCCAGUGAUGUCACGACCACAAUACUUGAAGUUGGUUUAUAAUGUACAGGAAACUAACACAGCCAGACUCAUUGGAGAAAGUUCAAAAUCAAAUUGUGCAGGUUAGAUAAUCUGUUUGAACACUGAAGCCAUAUCCAUCAAAGUUCAUUGUGGAAGUCCAAAGGUGGGUUUAAGUGUGAAGCAAGUUCAGAAGUUGAGGAAAGCUAGAUUAGUGAUGAAGAUGUAAAGUCUUAGUUUUUGAUUUUGUUAGUAACAAAGCAGCACAAUUUAACUUGCAACAUCUCCUAUCCAGAGCCUCUCUACUAUCUUAUAAGCUUAGAAAUGUAAUUCCCACUAAAAUAUCACAAUUAAAUUCAAUGUUAAGAUUAAUGCCACCUCAGUGAUAUAAAACAGUGCAGUUCAAAACACACUACCAAAGUUCACAGAUGCUGACUACAGUAGAGUUUUGUUGAAGUUUAUAUAUUUAUUUUUCAGGGUGAGACACUCACUUGGUGUAGUGCACUUGUAACCUUCACUAGUGACCAGGAAAGCUCCAAGGAGUGGGUUCAUGAAGUGCUUAUUUAUACAUGUUAUGCUACCAAUUAUAAUCUCAGCAUUAUUGGAGCUUCUUUGGAUUACAGCAAUAAUAAUACAACAGUAAAGAAUAAACACAGCAAUCAGGGAUCUCAGCAAUCUGAACAGGACUGAAGUGGGAUGACCUCAAGACUGAAGUAAACUGCCACUAACUAGCCUAGAAGAUACAGGUUAAAGUAAGACUGUUACAGCUAAUAAUUAUAUCACAACACAUUCUCAAGUAUAGCUUUCCUCAACAGAAAGUAAUACUGAAAACAAUGCAAACCUUCUAACUGAACCUAUUCAACAAUACACAUACACUCAUCGUUAAUAAGUUCUCUCAGUACACUACCAGAUAAAAACCAAAACAACAAUAAAUAAAAUUAGAUGAAAUAAAAACUAAAUAAAAGGACUCUGGAAUUAGCUAAAUGACUGAUUGAUCUUUUAAGUGUAAGAAUAAGAAAGACUCCUCCCAAUUAACUGUUCUUUGGCAAUCCUCUCACCAUGCCUCAAGGCCAGGCUUUGAGGCUGGUGAGAGUGAGUCUACUUAAUCAAUUAUCACAAGGAAGAGUGACCUAUGUUGACCUAUGUUUGAUUAGGGACCUUCUGAGAGGGGUUACUACAGAUGUUAGCUAUGGAUUUAACUAUCUAUGUGACAGUGACUCUUUGGUAAUGAAGGAUGCAAACAAAUCUGCCACAUCCAGUGGUAUCACGCUGAGCUGUUUCACUCCUUUGCAUUCAUUAAUAAAAAAAUGAGAUGUAAAAAAAAUAUCCAUUGCAGAGUAAGAUAGCUGCAGCAGCGGAGUAAUGAAGAUCACAUGGACUAGACACAUCCCAUGCCACUCAGGGAGGCCAUGGCGAUGCUUUGCUUCUUAACUACUUAAUGACUUGUCCAUUGUCUUAGAGCCACCUUAAUCUUAACACAGCAGAGCAUACACUGUUCACAUAGAUCACCCUCAGAAGGAAUUAUGAAUAUAAAAGCAAGUAGUAUUAUACAUCCAGAGAUAAAAAAAAAAUACUCAAACCUUGCGUGUAAUCAUGAUACAUUGGCAGCGCUAAUAAUGCAGAGUUGGCAAUCUGAGUAUCAUUAAAACUGAAGGUAGAUGGUGAAGAGAACAUUGGCCUGAACAACAGCAAAGAGUGAAGCACUUCAAAAUGAAAGUCGAUUGUUAGUACGCAUUAAAUGGGCAUAUUCGGUAAUAUUCCUUCUUGAUCUAAAUUAAUACAAAACUACUUAAAGGUGCUACACGUGGGGCAUACAUAAAAUUUAUUAACAUCAUAUACACAUGAAACAUUUACAUACUAAUCAAAUAGAAAUGUACUUAAAAUGACUGACUUGCAAGCUAAUGCUUUCUGUCCUCCCUCAUGAGUGCAAGAAGCACCAUUAUCUGACUGGCUCAUGACCUUCACCCCAACACUUAUGCUGUGCUGUCCCAAGGCUCAAGCUUGGGACACCCACACCACUAACACACAAGUUAACCUCUCCCUGAGCCUCUGCCCCUAGAGACUCUCACCACCACUACGUCAGUGCUGUGCUAUCCCGAGACUCUGGACCAAGUCUCGUAAGAUGGAAGGAAACUUUGAAAGUGCACCUUGUGGCUGAGGAAUGCUAAAGGGUUGGUGAGGGAAGCUGCCUCAGUAAAGUAUCAAAGUAAAAAAUAUAUAUA